rnacentral:rRNA from 1 species
AUUGAACGCUGGCGGAAUGCUUACACAUGCAAGUCGAACGGUAGAGGGGGCAACCCCUCGAGAGUGGCGAACGGGUGAGUAAUAUAUCGGAACGUGCCCAGUCGUGGGGGAUAACGUAGCGAAAGUUACGCUAAUACCGCAUACGAUCUAAGGAUGAAAGCGGGGGAUCGCAAGACCUCGCGCGAUUGGAGCGGCCGAUAUCAGAUUAGGUAGUUGGUGGGGUAAAGGCUCACCAAGCCAACGAUCUGUAGCUGGUCUGAGAGGACGACCAGCCACACUGGAACUGAGACACGGUCCAGACUCCUACGGGAGGCAGCAGUGGGGAAUUUUGGACAAUGGACGCAAGUCUGAUCCAGCCAUUCCGCGUGCAGGAUGAAGGCCCUCGGGUUGUAAACUGCUUUUGUACGGAACGAAAAGGUCUCUCUUAAUACGGGGGACUCAUGACGGUACCGUAAGAAUAGGCACCGGCUAACUACGUGCCAGCCGCCGCAGUAA